AGAGUCAUUUACUGCCUAGCUGUGGUUGGAAAAAUUAAGUCCUUGUAAUUUAGAGUCAACAUUUCUCGCGGAAUCACGUUAGACGAGUUGGCGGGGUUCGCAGCCUCUCCGCAGAGCCGCCUGCAAUCAAAACAAGCUUGGGGCAGCGAGCUGUUGGCGUCCCUAACCCUGCCGAGGCCUGGGCUGCACCCUGGCUACAGGGCGGGCCUGGGGGGACGGCGCCAGGACCCCUCAGGCCUGCAAGGGUGGAGCUCGGCCCCUUCCCCCGCCCCCUCUGCCUCGUGCAAAACAAGGCUUGCACACGCCUGGUGGCCUGGGGCUGCCGGAAGCAAAUGCAGUGGACCGCGGGCUCCCACGGUAGGGAUUUACUGUCCGAGGGUUCUGGAGCUAGAGGUUCAAGGCCAAGACAGGGCGGUUUCCCCCAAGGUGUCUCCCCCUGGCUUGUAGAUGGCCACCUUCUCCCUGUGUCUUGGCCUGGUCUCCCCUCCGUGUGCAUCUGUGUCCUAAUCUCCUCUUCUUGCGUAGACACCAGUCAGGUUGGAUUAGGCCCACCCCACCCGAAUGACCUCAUUUUAGGGUAAUCGCCUCUUUAAAGGCCCUAUCUCCAAAUGUAACCUCAUUCUGAGAUAGGAAGGGUUAGUGAGGGCUUCAACGUAGGGAUUUGGUGUGGAGGGUUGACAUCUUGUGACCAUAACAUCCUGUAACAUCCCAGAUCGGUUCAUUUUCACCCUGCCCAGGACCGAUGGGGGCUGUGGUUCUGCUUUGCAGAGGAUGCGGAAAGGCAGGCAGCGGCCCCAGCUCCCACGGCCGGCAGGACACAUGCUGGGCCAGGGGGUAGAAUUUCACCCGUGGGUUUUGCAUCACAGCACAGCCGUGUCCACCCCGCGGCCCCGGGCUGGCAUGAGCCAGGAGCCACGCGGACUCCGCAGACCCCACAAAGCUGCCGCGCAGAAUGCCAGGGAGGCUGGCUUCAGCUUAGCGCAGAGCCCCGGCAGCGAGGGAGGUGAAGGCUCUGGGCAUCUUGCCCUGGGGACAGGGAGGCUGAGGCCCCCACUGGAGGGGGACGGUGAUGUCUACUCCUGCUGGAGCCACAGAUCUCUCAGCUCGGCGGCCUUCCCCAGAGAUCCCCUGCUCCAUCUGGUUUCACGAGGGACCUCACUCCGUCCGGCCGCCACCUUCUGUGGAACUGGAACCUGCGGGACACCUGGGUGGCUCAGCGGUGCAGCAUCUGCUUUUGGCUCAGGCCGUGACGGUCCCGGAAUCGAGUCUUGCAUCGGGCCCCCAGCAUGGAGCCUGCUUCUCCCUCUCCCUGUGUCUCUGCCUCUCUCUGUAUGUCUCUCAUGAAUAAAUAAAUAAAAUCUGAAAACAAAACA
rnacentral:lncRNA from 12 species